AUAUUGCGCAAUGGGCGAAAGCCUGACGCAGCGACGCCGCGUGGGGGAUGACGGCCUUCGGGUUGUAAACCUCUUUCAGCAGGGACGAAGUUGACGUGUACCUGCAGAAGAAGCGCCGGCUAACUACGUGCCAGCAGCCGCGGUAAUACGUAGGGCGCAAGCGUUGUCCGGAAUUAUUGGGCGUAAAGAGCUCGUAGGUGGCUGGUCGCGUCGGAUGUGAAAGCCCAUGGCUUAACUGUGGGUCUGCAUUCGAUACGGGCCGGCUUGAGGUAGGUAGGGGCAAGCGGAAUUCCUGGUGUAGCGGUGAAAUGCGCAGAUAUCAGGAGGAACACCGGUGGUGAAGGCGGCUUGCUGGGCCUUACCUGACGCUGAGGAGCGAAAGCGUGGGGAGCGAAC
rnacentral:rRNA from 1 species